rnacentral:rRNA from 1 species
GGUCAAGUUAUUAAGGGUUUACGGUGGAUGCCUUGGGUCCAAGGGCCGAAGAAGGGCGCGGAAAGACUGCGAUAAGCCUCGAUUAGCUGUCUAUCAAGCUUAGUCGGGGGUACCCGAAUGGGGAAACCCGUCAUGGGUUAUACCAUGACAUUCAAAUGAAUGGGAACCGUGUGAACUGAAACAUCUAAGUAACACGAGGAAUAUAAAUCAAAAGAGAUUCUCCUAGUAGUGGCGAACGAACGGGGAACAGCCUAAACUGUGUGGGCUUAACGGAAUGAGGUCCUAUGUCCAUGCAGGGUUGUAACAAGUUUCUGUCCUGACCUCAAUAAGGACAAGAAGUUACAAAUUUUUUUAUUAGUCAAACGAAUCUGGAAAGAACGACCGGAGAAGGUGAUAGUCCUGUAGGCGAAAAUAAAAAAACUUCUGAAACUCUGUUGAGUACCACGGGACACGAGAAAUCUUGUGGGAAUCUGGGGAGACCACUCUCCAAGGCUAAAUACUCUUGGACACCGAUAGCGAACCAGUACUGUGAAGGAAAGGUGAAAAGUACCCCGGGAGGGGAGUGAAAUAGACCUGAAACCGUAAACUUACAAGCCGU